GAAAAAGUAUGCAAGAGCUGCUAACUCUAUGCCCCCGUGUGUAAUAACAUGGCUUUUUCG
rnacentral:tRNA from 2 species